rnacentral:rRNA from 1 species
GAUGAACGCUGGCGGCGUGCUUAACACAUGCAAGUCGAACGAUUAAAGCCCCUUCGGGGGUGUAUAGAGUGGCGAACGGGUGAGUAACACGUGGGCAACCUGCCCCUCACACUGGGAUAACUCAGGGAAACUUGAGCUAAUACCGGAUACUCCGGACUGAUCGCAUGGUCGGUCCGGGAAAGCUCCGGCGGUGAGGGAUGGGCCCGCGGUCCAUUAGCUUGUUGGUGGGGUAACGGCUCACCAAGGCUGCGAUGGAUAGCCGAGCUGAGAGGCUGAUCGGCCACACUGGGACUGGUACACGGCCCAGACUCCUACGGGAGGCAGCAGUGGGGAAUUUUGCGCAAUGGGCGAAAGCCUGACGCAGCAACGCCGCGUGCGGGAUGAAGGCCUUCGGGUUGUAAACCGCUUUCAGCAGGGAUGAAAAUGACAGUACCUGCAGAAGAAGCCCCGGCUAACUACGUGCCAGCCGGCGCGGUAAAAC